rnacentral:rRNA from 1 species
CCUACGGGAGGCAGCAGUGAGGAAUAUUGGUCAAUGGACGAGAGUCUGAACCAGCCAAGUAGCGUGCAGGAUGACGGCCCUAUGGGUUGUAAACUGCUUUUAUAAGGGAAUAAAGUGAGCCUCGUGAGGCUUUUUUGCAUGUACCUUAUGAAUAAGGACCGGCUAAUUCCGUGCCAGCAG